GACGAACGCUGGCGGCGUGCUUAACACAUGCGAGUCGAACGGAAAGGCCCUGCUUUUGUGGGGUGCUCGAGUGGCGAACGGGUGAGUAACACGUGAGUAACCUUCCCUUGACUUUGGGAUAACUUCAGGAAACUGGGGCUAUUACCGGAUAGGAGCUCCUGCUGCAUGGUGGGUGUUGGAAAGUUUCGGCGGUUGGGGAUGGACUCGCGGCUUAUCAGCUUGUUGGGGGGGUAGUGGCUUACCAAGGCUUUGACGGGUAGCCGGCCUGGGAGGGUGACCGGCCACAUUGGGACUGAGGUACGGCCCAGAAUCCUACGGGAGGCAACAGUGGGGAAUAUUGCACAAUGGGCGGAAGCCUGAUGCAGCAACGCCGCGUGCGGGAUGACGGCCUUCGGGUUGUAAACCGCUUUCGCCUGUGACGAAGCGUGAGUGACGGUAACGGGUAAAGAAGCACCGGCUAACUACGUG
rnacentral:rRNA from 1 species